UACGUAGGGUGCAAGCGUUGUCCGGAAUUAUUGGGCGUAAAGAGCGUGUAGGCGGCCAGGUAGGUCUGCUGUGAAAACUCGAGGCUUAAACCUCUAGACGUCGAUGGAAACCGUCUGGCUAGAGUCCGGAAGAGGAGAAUGGAAUUCCUGGUGUGAGCGGUGAAAUGACGCAGAUAUCAGGAAGAACACCCGUGGCUAAGGCGGUUCUCUGGGAAUGACCUGACGCUGAGGAGCGAAAGUGUCGGGGAGCGAACAGG
rnacentral:rRNA from 1 species